rnacentral:lncRNA from 1 species
CGGGCAGUCAGGGUCAUCAUGAAGUUGCUGUGUUUCUAAGUAAAGGAGCUCCCUUGAGAAGAGAUAGGGAAGUUUGUGAGAAAUAUGUCAGCUUUCGUGGCCUCUGAAGGUCAAGUGAACUCUGGCAUUUAAACACAGCGGCCAGAGUCACUACACAUCCUGUGUUUUCUUUAUGAGAAGAAAAGCUUGGCAAGGGAAAUGUCAGCAACAAGGUACACGCAGCUGGUUCGCCGCAAGACGGCCACCCAUGUCGUGCUGUCUUCACAUAUUCCAGGCACUGGGAGGUCUCUCCAGGAUUAAGGCCACCACCCUCCCCUCACUGCCGCCUCCCCUGUCAUGCACAUGGGAAAGGCCUGGCUCCUCUUAGGCCAGGCAGACCACCCUACUUUAUUUGGCCUUGGGGCCAGUGGACAGGCCUUCUAGGGCUGCCACCUUGGUCCCCAGGGGCAGUGCACUACACACCAGGCAUCGGCAGUGGGCACGACUCCCUCUGGGAUUGUGCAAACAGGACCUCUCUCCAGCAGCUCCACGGAGCAGGUCUCAAGAGCCCCGGACCUGGGUUUGAAUCUCAGCGGUGCCACUGGCUGGCUGACUGUAGGACUUUGGGCAAGUCACUUUACCUCUCUCAGCCUCUGCUUUUUCCUCUGCUAAGUGGGAACUAGAAGGCUGACCUCUCAGGGCUGCUGGAAGGGACAGAGGGGCAUGUAUAGAGUCCCUGGCCCAUCCUUAGGGAGAUGAGGGGAGAAACUUACACCCACUCACAUAUUCACACACACACACACACACAUACACACUCCAAACAAAGUUUCAUUUUUUUUCUUUUUUUUUUUGAGAUGGAGUUUCCACUCUUGUUGCCCAGGCUGGAGUGCAAUGGCGCGAUGAUCUCAGCUCAGUGCAACCUCCACUUCCCGGGUUCAAGUGAUUCUCCUGCCUCAGCCUCCCGAGUAGCUGGGAUUACAGGCACUUGCCACAACAUCCGGCUAAUUUUUUGUAUUUUUAGUAGACGGGGUUUCAUCAUGUUAGCCAGGCUGGUCUCAAACUCCUGACCUCAGGUGAUCCACCUGCCUCAGCCUCCCAAAGUGCUGGGAUUACAGGUGUGAGCCACUGCACUGGCCCUAAUCAGGUUUCAAAUCCUUCUCUAAAUACCCAUCCUAGGCCACCAUGUCUCACUGAUUCUUUUAUUCCUUUUUUUUUUAAGAACAAUAUCUAAAAUGCAAAAAAAAAAAAAGGAUAUAAUAAUAAACAGUCAUAUUUUCAUCACCCAGAGAAGUCCAGCCGCCAAGCAGGUGGCCUUUGAUGGUGGGAGGCAGUGCCACCCCUGCCCUGCCUCCCUCUUCACUCUGGCUUACCCCAUGGUGCUUUUCUGGCGCAGAUGAGGAAACAGGGAUUUGAGGGCUGCAGGAGGCAGAGGAGCCAUCCUCCCGGUUCUCUCAGACAGGACAGGAAGCCUGGAGCACCCAGCUUCACAGAGGCCCCAGCACUUCCGUAGGCCUCGCACCACCUCCCUCACCCGCCUUUGCCAAGCCACCCGCUGUGAUGAUUUGAAGGCCACUCCGGCAGGGCAGAGAGGCCCUGCAGGUGUAACGCAUUGAGCUGGGUGAGCUGGGCAGCCUUGGAGUUGAAAGGACCCCAGGAAUCCAGUCCAGGUCCCCUGUGGUGCAAAUGGGGAAACUGAGGUCCGGACAGGGAGAGGACCUCACCCAGCCGGUGGCUGCCAGGUAACGCAUGUCUUUGGUUUUGUCCCUUUAACUCUGUGAGUCUGGGUCUCAGUCUCCUCAUCUGUCAGUUAUAAAUGAUAAUCCCACUACAGUCCCAGGGCAUUGCCGGAGAAGCUGGCGGCGGCGUGGCAGUUGCUGUUCUCUGAAAAGUCCCCACUGUUCCUGCCCUCCCAGCCUUGGUCUUUGCUGGGCCCUGGGGUCCCUUCCUCAGGCUCCUCCCUGCUGAGCCCGCCCCCCGCACAUCCUGGCUUGGGUCCCUGCAGUAAGCCCUGUUCUCACCCCCACCCCCGUCCAGGAACAAGGGCUGGGAUGCUCUCACCAGCGUCAGCUUCUCUCAUGCUGAAAGCUCUGACUCUUGCACCAUGCCCAGGCCAGAGCCCUCACUCAAUGCACUGAAUAACUGAGCACACACAGGCACACCUGGAAUCCUAACCGCUUCCACGGUCCCCUAAAUGCUCAUCCUGAGCCAGAAAGUCUAACUGACUCUUUUGUUGUUCUUUUUUUUUUUUUUGAGACAAGGUCUCGUUCUGUCUCCUAAGCUGGAGUGCAGUGGUGCAAUCAUGGCUCACUGUAGCCUCCAACUCAUAGGCUCAAGAGAUACUCCUACCUUAGCCUCUCAAGUAGCUAGGGCUGCAGAUGUGACCACCGCACCUGGCUAAUUAUUAUAAUAUUAUUAUUGUUAUUAUUUUUUGAGACGGAAUCUUGCUCUGUUGCCCAGGCUGGAGUGCAAUGGCAUGAUGUCCCGGCUCACUACAACCUCCACUUCCCGGGUUCA